rnacentral:rRNA from 1 species
GAUGAACGCUGGCGGCGUGCCUAAUACAUGCAAGUCGAGCGAACAGACGAGGAGCUUGCUCCUCUUACGUUAGCGGCGGACGGGUGAGUAACACGUGGAUAACCUACCUAUAAGACUGGGAUAACUUCGGGAAACCGGAGCUAAUACCGGAUAAUAUAUUGAACCGCAUGGUUCAAUAGUGAAAGACGGUUUUGCUGUCACUUAUAGAUGGAUCCGCGCCGCAUUAGCUAGUUGGUAAGGUAACGGCUUACCAAGGCAACGAUGCGUAGCCGACCUGAGAGGGUGAUCGGCCACACUGGAACUGAGACACGGUCCAGACUCCUACGGGAGGCAGCAGUAGGGAAUCUUCCGCAAUGGGCGAAAGCCUGACGGAGCAACGCCGCGUGAGUGAUGAAGGUCUUCGGAUCGUAAAACUCUGUUAGUAGGGAAGAACAAAUGUGUAAGUAACUAUGCACGUCUUGACGGUACCUAAUCAGAAAGCCACGGCUAACUACGUG